AGCUGAGUGGCGCAGCGGAAGCGCGCCGGGCUCAUAACCCGGAGGGUAAGUCCAUGAUGCCAGACAUUAUCACAUAUUCACCCACUUACAUUACUAGACCUACGAUCGAAACGUAGCUCAGCUA